UAACGAAUAUUCCGCAAUGCGCGAAAGCGUGACGGAGCAAUGCCGCGUGCAGGAUGAAGCCCCUCGGGGUGUAAACUGCUGUCAGGGGUUAGAAACAAAAUGAUCAACCCCAGAGGAAGGGCCGGCUAACUUCGUGCCAGCAGCCGCGGUAAUACGAAGGGCCCAAGCGUUAAUCGGAAUCACUGGGCUUAAAGAGUGCGUAGGCGGGUCUGCAAGUGUCUUGUGAAAUCCCACGGCUCAACCGUGGAAUGGCUGGGCAAACUGCAGGCCUUGAGCUCGGAAGAGGUUGUCGGAACUCUAGGUGGAGCGGUGAAAUGCGUAGAUAUCUAGAGGAACGCUCAUGGCGAAAGCAGGCAACUGGGCCGACGCUGACGCUGAGGCACGAAAGCGUGGGGAGCGAACG
rnacentral:rRNA from 1 species